ACAGACAGACAACCUUCUACUCUAGUGUUGCUUGUUUCACUUCAUUUCGUCUCACUGCUCCUGUGAUACGUCUACCUGCAUGUUCCUCGUGUUUCCAUGUGACUCUUGGUUCUCUUAAUAUGGAUUUAUAUUGGGAGUUGAGCCUUUUCAUGAUAAGAAUUGAACAACUGGAAGCCAAGAUCGAUCGAGCUAAGGGCAAGCACUCAUUUUGACCCCGAUGUGUUGGUGAUCAUCUCCGGUGUCACAUCAUGGCCCUGGUGAAGAACCUGCUCAUCGUGGGGCUACAAUGGGAGAGUCCCUGACGGAGUGGUGGCUGCUGAGAGAGAGAUGAGAACGACCCAGUGAUAAAGGUGGAAUUUGGAUCCGUACAGGACAAGGCGGAUGUGCUAAGAAAGAAAAAAGGGCUGAAUAGAAAAGAGAAAUUCAGAAAAGUUUAUAUUCGGUCUUCCAAGAAUCGCAUAGAACUGAAUUUCAUAACUUGAUUGGAUGAAAUGCAAUGAAAUAAGGUCGUUAGUUUUACAUCACCGGGAGCAGCAGAGUUAGAAGACAGCUGACAGGUGUGGAAAACGGCGGUGAUGGAGGACCGACACCUGAACAGUGUAUUCCCAGCCUGUAUUCCUGCGGUCCAUCCACCUCAUUCCCACUGGGUCCAUGCCUUAGGAAGAUGAAUGAGCCGCAUCUGAUGUACAAUCCUGCAGGGAACUUUUUUGUGACUACUUCUCAACAACCCUCAUGCUGAAGAGGACUGACGGUUCUCCUUGGUUUGGCGAAUAAUUCAAAUAACUUCAAUAACAGAAAAAAUAUUUCAUUUACUGUUGUCCUCCAGCUCCUAUUAGCUGUAGCGUUUGUUAAGAGUUAAUGACAAUGCAAAAAAUAAAAAAUAAAAAUAACACGAACAGUAGCCCUUCAGCAACCACUUAAUCUCAAAUAACUGAAUAUUUUAAUUGAGCUAUUUAUUGCAUUAAGAAGCAAUUAUUUCUCUCUAAACAC